rnacentral:lncRNA from 1 species
UUAUCAGCAACUUAUGGAAGCACAUACUAUGGUGGGUUGGGACAAGGUGUGCUAUUCAAUUGGACCAAGUUCAUGGUACGCACAGUGAAGCUGAAAGGUACCCCUUGUUAGUUGGUCUAGCCACAGUGAAGCUGAAACAAUUGGUUGAUGUUCCAGGGUACCUAACCGUUUGAUGAAACAAUUUUAAGUAGGCCCACAGAAAGGAACCCUUUAACAAAUAGCUUACUGUGGAAAGUAGGAGAACAGAUUUUUCUUCCCUCUAAUCUAGUGUGAACACGAAAAGUCUAGAGCAUCUAACUCCGCAUUCCUUCAUCUUGCUUGGUAAUUGGUAUUCCCUCUCCAUGGCACGCAUGCAAGUUUUUAUGACGUAGGGGUGGCAAACAGGCUAGGUCAGACAAGAUACAGGUCGAAUCGGAUAUAGGAUAUAUCCAAAAUUCGUCAAC